rnacentral:lncRNA from 1 species
GACUCUCUCUUGUCAAGAGUUGUUCCGAGUGGAUAUGGGUAUAUGUAUCCUUUAGACCUAAGAUUGCAACCGGUGGCUUGCAAGCAACUCACUGUACUUUGGUGCCGGACUACCUGGAUUUCUAAUCCAGCGACGGAAGGUUUCUGGGUCCAGUCAAGUACUUGUGGUAGUCAGUUGCAAAUCAAGAUGGGAUUGACCUCCCUUAGGAAUAAGGGUGAAUGCCUUGUGUUUUCAAUUAAGUAGUAUCCUGGCCAGGGAAAGUCAAAUCUCUAUCACUUGACUUAUUGAAUUGAAACAUAUUUCCGGAUGGAUCGUUUCAGGGUAGACAGACUCUGAACCCACCCUGGGCAUUUUCUGGUCAAGAGGAUGAAUUAUGCGGUAACCAUGGUCCAUAGGUUCUAGAAUGUUGC